rnacentral:rRNA from 1 species
UACGGAGGAUGCAAGCGUUAUCCGGAAUGAUUGGGCGUAAAGCGGCCGCAGGUGGCUGUGUAAGUCUGCUGUUAAAGAGUGAGGCUCAACCUCAUAAAGGCAGUGGAAACUACAUGGCUAGAGUGCGUUCGGGGCAGAGGGAAUUCCUGGUGUAGCGGUGAAAUGCGUAGAGAUCAGGAAGAACACCGGUGGCGAAAGCGCUCUGCUAGGCCGAACUGACACUGAGGGACGAAAGCUAGGGGAGCGAAUGGG